AUGCUAAUACCGCAUAACAACUUGGACCGCAUGGUCCGAGCUUGAAAGAUGGCUUCGGCUAUCACUUUUGGAUGGUCCCGCGGCGUAUUAGCUAGAUGGUGGGGUAACGGCUCACCAUGGCAAUGAUACGUAGCCGACCUGAGAGGGUAAUCGGCCACAUUGGGACUGAGACCCGGCCCAAACUCCUACGGGAGGCAGCAGUAGGGAAUCUUCCACAAUGGACGAAAGUCUGAUGGAGCAACGCCGCGUGAGUGAAGAAGGGUUUCGGCUCGUAAAACUCUGUUGUUAAAGAAGAACAUAUCUGAGAGUAACUGUUCAGGUAUUGACGGUAUUUAACCAGAAAGCCACGGCUAACUACGUGCCAGCAGCCGCGGUAAUACGUAGGUGGCAAGCGUUGUCCGGAUUUUUUGGGCGUAAAGCGAGCGCAGGCGGUUUUUUAAGUCUGAUGUGAAAGCCUUCGGCUCAACCGAAGAAGUGCAUCGGAAACUGGGAAACUUGAGUGCAGAAGAGGACAGUGGAACUCCAUGUGUAGCGGUGA
rnacentral:rRNA from 2 species